UACGUAGGGGGCAAGCGUUGUCCGGAAUCAUUGGGCGUAAAGCGCGCGUAGGCGGCCAGAUAAGUCCGGUGUGAAAGUCACAGGCUCAACCUGUGAAUGCCGCUGGAAACUGUCUGGCUUGAGUCCGGUAGGGGCGAGUGGAAUUCCUGGUGUAGCGGUGAAAUGCGCAGAUAUCAGGAGGAACACCAAUGGCGAAGGCAGCUCGCUGGAACGGUACUGACGCUGAGGCGCGAAGGCGUGGGGAGCGAACAGG
rnacentral:rRNA from 1 species